rnacentral:misc_RNA from 1 species
UACGGAGGGUGCGAGCGUUAAUCGGAAUUACUGGGCGUAAAGGGUGCGUAGGUGGUUUGGUAAGUUAACUGUGAAAUUCCCGGGCUUAACCUGGGGUUGUCAGCUAAGACUGCCGAACUGGAGUAUAGGAGAGGGCAGUGGAAUUUCCGGUGUAGCGGUGAAAUGCGUAGAGAUCGGAAGGAACACCAGUGGCGAAGGCGACUGCCUGGCCUGAUACUGACACUGAGGCACGAAAGCGUGGGUAGCAAACAGG